AUGACGUCUACGGCGCAGACACAACAAUACUAUUAUUAUUAUGUCGUUAGGCGUCGAUGUUAAAGUAACGUUUGGGACUAGUUACGAUGACCCGACGCCAUAAUUUAUACCAGUGGUUCUCAACCGCCGGUCCACGAUAAAAAAAAUAUCGGUCCGUAUAAUAUUGGAAAAAUUAUAUUUUCAGUAUAGUAAUUAAACGAACCAAAACCCAAAGUGAUCUGUAGCCCUACUUAAAUCUAGAUUCUAGAUUCAAGGUGGUCCACGAAACCAAUAAGGUUGAGAACCACUGAGUUAUACGAUGCACACGGACGAGGUUAAUCAAUAAACGCUAACGCUAUAUCCAGUACCCACUUACUAUAGCAGUGUAGACUGUAGAUCAUGAUGUCAGUCUAACCCCACAGUCGGCCUUCGCUAGUCUGCCAUUCUGCGUUUGAUCGUCGUCUUUCAUCUGCUUUCCAAUUGCCCACUGGUUUUUACGUAACAACAAAUUACCGAAAACCUGUUAUCAAUCACGUUUUUGCCGUUUGCCGGUCCGUGACUAUCGAGUUGUCAGUUCAAUUAUUGUUUUCAACACUCGUCUUGAAAACUCUUCCAACAACUACCGACUUACACAACCCACAAUCAAUAAAGAAAAUUAAAAGAAAAAAUGAAGAACGUUGAACAGGAUAUACCACCAUCAAUGAUUAUUGAAGAAGUUAGGAGUCCAAGAAGACAAAAUAAUGCUAGACCUGUAAAUACUCCAAUUUUUUUUAUUCAUGAGGUUAUAGAGGUUUCCGAUGAUGAAGAUGAAUUAUCUUUAUUAUUGGAAGAUGAAGAAGGUAUGAGGGCAUUUAACGAAACCCUUGAUCGACGUCAAAAUAUCAAUUUAAACAACUCAAACAACUCAACCUAACAGAGCAUUAUACAGUUUGGUUCAUAAUGUCUUAAAUAAAAUAACAUAUUAUGUAUGAAAACUUAUAAUAAUUUGUAGUUGAUUCGUCACUAUUUAUAAUUUAAUAAAAAAAAUGUUCUAACAUA